rnacentral:rRNA from 1 species
UGGGGAAUUUUGGACAAUGGGGGCAACCCUGAUCCAGCCAUGCCGCGUGAGUGAAGAAGGCCUUCGGGUUGUAAAGCUCUUUCGCGAGGGAAGAAAUUGCACCGGAUAAUACCUGGUGUAGAUGACGGUACCUUGAUAAGAAGCACCGGCUAACUACGUGCCAGCAGCCGCGGUAAUACGUAGGGUGCGAGCGUUAAUCGGAAUUACUGGGCGUAAAGCGUGCGCAGGCGGUUUCGUAAGACAGGCGUGAAAUCCCCGGGCUUAACCUGGGAACUGCGCUUGUGACUGCGAGGCUAGAGUACGGCAGAGGGAGGUAGAAUUCCACGUGUAGCAGUGAAAUGCGUAGAGAUGUGGAGGAAUACCGAUGGCGAAGGCAGCCUCCUGGGCCAGUACUGACGCU